ACCCUCCCACCUGUCUCCAGCUCAGAGCCGAGCAUGGUGACAGGGGAGGGGGAACUUGUUCUGCCUUUUCAUUUCCUCCUUGAAAUAUCUUCUUUCUUAUACCUGUAGACCUAGACCAGGCAGCUUGCCCUUCAGAGCUGAGGAUUUGCCAUCUGUUUCAAGCUGGCCCAUUUCUGGCAUCUACCCCGGGGCAAACAGUGGCCUCCAGAUGAGGAAACUGAGACUUCAAGAGUCCAAAUAUCUUAGUGUUCUUGAGCCAAAGGUGCUGAGUGAAGGAGACGUGGUCCCUGCCCUUGAGGAGCUGGCAGUCUUUCUGGGGAGACAGAUGAUGAGCAGAUGAGCAGGUGCACGGUGUGGAGCGGUGCCUGCCACUAUGCAUGGUUAACCUAGCUGGAGGACCCUGUGCUUCCUGCACCUCACAGGUGGAGCAGCCUCUCAGGAACCCCUUCCGAGGCCUCCUCCUGUGGGCAUGCUGCUUUCUCAUCACUGCUGCUGCUGACCUUUCUCCCCAGCAACUACCGAAAACCCGUUUAUCCACAGUCUAAACAACCAAGAGAAUGAAAGAAUCCCAUGGAAGGAGGAUGAGAGCAGUCUGUACUCAAUUUUAGGAUCAGUAAAUAAUAAGAAAACAAGCUCCUGUUGGGCACUUAGUUCAACAGCAGCUCCCAGGUUGCAUGUAGCCCCACAAUCAGCAUUGUUCCACUUCUGCAUCUUUUGUGUGGCUCACCCUGUUCUGGGCACUCAAGGCAUUUCACAACAAUAUCUGUGAAAUUAUAACAUGUCAUCUGCAUUUUUAAGAUGCACUAUGGACCAGGCGUGGUGCUGGGAGUGCUUUGAGAGGCUGAGGUGGGAGGAUCACUUGAGGAGAGACGCUCCAGUCCAGCCCAGGCAACAGAACAAGACCCCAUCUCUACAAAUUUUUUUUUUAAAUAUCAGCUGGGUGUGGUGGCACAAGCCUGUAGUCCCAGCUAUUUGGGAGGCUGAGGCAAGACGAUCACCUGAGUCCAGGAGUUGGAGGCCACAGUGAGCUAGGAUCAUGCCACUAAACUAUAGCAUGGAUGACAGAGAGAAACUCCUUAUUUAAAACAAACAAACUGACAAAACAAAAGGGAAGCAUGAUGGUGUGCCAGGGAGGGGUCUAUCUGAAGCCAUUUAGACUAGAUUCAGCCAGUCAGAAAGUUCAAUUAACCAGAAAAUUUCAUUUUCCAAAGAAUCAGAAUAACCAGGAGUUCAUUGGAAUCUCCCUGAAGGUCCUCCUGGAUUUAUUCCCAUGGACUUACCCUACGAGCUUGGAGCUGCAGCAACAUUCUUCACUUCCAGGAGGCGCAGGGACCCCUGGCAUCACGGUGCCCUCUGGUCUUCAGGGAUGGGGAUGUGUGCGGCAGCUCAGGCUUAGGCCUCCUGGGAUGCACAGGCUGCUUGUAACAAGGGCCCAGCAAUGGGUGCCGGAGGCCGAAACCUGUGCACAUUCUUUUGUCUGAAAGUCAUAAUGAGCCAGGCAUGCAAAGAUGUUGUUCGUAGGGGACUUAUUCCAGCCUUGUAUAUUAGAGCAAAAAAUCAGAAACAAACUAAAUUUCCAGCCCUCAAGGAAUAGUCAACUACAUUGUGGAACAGUUGGGUAAUGUACUAUAAAGCAGCCACUAAAAAAGACAUUGGGAAAAUUUAAUUAUUCAUCUGAAAAGAUGUUCGUAAUAGAUUAGGUUAAAAAGCAGUAUAUACAAUAGCUAGAACGUAGACACAAUCCAAAUGUCCAUUGACAGGUGAAUGGGUAAGCAAAAUGUGAUCUAUACAUACAGUGGAAUAUUAUUCAGACUUAAAAAGGAAGGAUUCUUUUUUUUUUAGAGGAGGUCUUAUUCUGUCACCCGGGAUAGAGUGCAGUGGUGUGAUCUUGGCUCACUGCAGCCUCACCCUCCCAGGCUCAAGUUAUUCUCCCACCUCAGUCUCCUAAAUAGCUGAGACCACAGGUGUUUGCCGCCACACCCAGCUAAUUUUUGUGGGCUUUGUAGAGAUGGGGUUUCAGCAUGUUGCCCAGGCUGGUCUCAAACUCUUGGACUCAAGGGAUCCUCCUAACUUGGCCUCCCAAAGUGGUAGGAUUACAGAAGUGAACCACCAUGCCUAGCCUCUUUUUUUUUUUUGAUUAAGAGACAGGUUCUCACUCUGUCACCCAAGCUGGGGUGCAGUGGCGCGAUCAUAAUUCACUGCAGCCUAAAAGGAAGGAAAUCCUGAUAUAUGCUACCACAAGGGCGAACGUUGAGGACGUUGUGCUAAGGGAAAUAUGUCAGCCACAUAAGGACAAAUAUUUUAUGAUUCUACUUAUAUGAAGUAGGUAGAGUGGUGGCAUUCAGAGAAAGUAGAAUGAUAGUUGCCAGGAGUUGGGAGGAGGGAAAAUGGGAAGUUAUUGUUUAAUAGAUGCAGAGUUUCCUUUGGAGAAUAUUUUUAAAGUUCUGGGCCAGGCGCGGUGGCUCACACCUGUAAUCCCAGCACUUUGGGAGGCUGAGGUAGGUGGAUCACUUGAGGUCAGGAGUUCGAAACCAGCCUGGCCAACAUGGUGAAACCCCAUCUCUGCUAAAAAUACAAAAAUUAACUAGCCGUGGUGGUGCACACCUGU